AGCAGCCGCCACGGUAAUACGGAGGGCGCGAGCGUUUCCCGGAUUUACUGGGCGUAAAGGGCGUGUAGGCGGCCUGGGGCGUCCUAUGUGAAAGGCCACGGCUCAACCGUGGAGGAGCGUGGGAUACGCUCAGGCUAGAGGGUGGGAGAGGGUGGUGGAAUUCCCGGAGUAGCGGUGAAAUGCGCAGAUACCGGGAGGAACGCCGAUGGCGAAGGCAGCCACCUGGUCCACUUCUGACGCUGAGGCGCGAAAGCGUGGGGAGCAAACCGGAUUAGAUACCCCUGUAGUCCCUGUCUCUUAUAC
rnacentral:rRNA from 1 species